GCAGCGCGUGCAGGAUGUAAAAUAGAAAGUUGGCGCGGGCCCAGCUCCAAAAGCGGCGAGAGCUUGCAGUCGUCUCUCGGCUGUAGUCGCGGUUACACGUGCACUAGCUCGACGUCAUGCUGUCCUAUCGCUACUGCUACUCUUAUCGUCGGCAGCAGGAGCAGCAGCAUCUGUCACUUUGACGUUUGUUGCACUCGCGAGAUAAGUACGCGUCGUCGAUAUGGCCGAGUUAACGGUGGCGCAGCUGCCGCAGGAGUCCGCGGAACAUCGGGAGACUCCUCGCAGGCCACAACAACAACACUUGGGUGAUGGCGGCGCUGGCAUGGCGUUGGCAGGACUGAGGCGAGCCAUAUCCCAGGUCUCGAUGCUCGUGGUCAAAGCCACGACGUCGGGGGAGGUCGCGUGGCGCGAAGAGUGCCAAAAGUACAGGCAGACGAGGUUCAGCUCGAGGAGAGUGAGGAAGCGGGUCGUCUUCAAACAUGGUGACUGCAACGUCGUGCAGGGUAACGUGGCCAAGAGGAGACGACGCUAUCUGCAGGACAUCUUCACGACGCUGGUCGACGCACAAUGGCGCUGGACACUGCUCGUCUUCGCCAUGACAUUCCUGCUCUCCUGGCUGGGCUUCGCACUGGUCUGGUGGCUGGUCGUCUACGCGCACGGAGAUCUCGAGGCCAAGAUCGCCGCCGGCGAGCCCGGCUCCAACGUCUCCUUCACACCCUGCGUCGAGGAUAUUCACGGAUUCACCAGCUGUUUUUUGUUUUCCGUCGAGACCCAGCACACCAUCGGGUACGGCUCGAAACACACGACGGAAGAGUGUCCCGAGGCUAUCUUUAUCAUGUGCAUCCAGUCGAUGACCGGCGUCAUUCUACAAGCAUUUAUGGUUGGCAUCGUCUUUGCCAAACUGUCCAGACCGAAGAAGCGCACCCAGACGCUUCUAUUUUCGCGUAAUGCCGUUAUUUGCCAGAGGGACGGACAGCCCUGUCUGAUGUUCCGAGUCGGAGAUAUGAGGAAGAGUCACAUAAUCGAGGCGCACGUUCGCGCUCAGAUGAUUAAGCGAAAGGUGACUAGAGAAGGCGAGUUGCUGCCGUUCUUCCAGACCGAACUGAAGGUCGGCGGCGACGGCGAGGAGGACAAAAUUUUUUUCAUCUGGCCGACGACUAUCGUCCACAAGAUCAACGAACAAUCGCCCCUGUAUCACCUGUCGGCGAGCGAUAUGCUGCGCGAGCGUUUCGAGAUAAUCGUCAUGCUCGAGGGUGUGAUCGAGUCGACGGGCAUGACCACUCAGGCACGUAGCUCUUACCUACCCUCGGAGAUCCUCUGGGGCCAUCGGUUCGAGCACAUCAUCACCUUUCGCAAGGAAACCGGCGAGUACGAAGUCAACUACACGCUCUUCAACAACACCUACGAAGUCGACACGCCUCUUUGUUCCGCCGCUGAGCUCGAUCACGUGCGAGCCAUGCAUAGGGCUAAAGGAGAACGAACGAGCUCGGCGACCUUCGCUCAAUACCGCAUGGACUCCAGCAGCUCUCUGAGUUCUGGUUCGGCUUCGAGCUUCGCCUCAUCGGCGGGUGGAUUGCACAUGAUGCCGCCGCAGGCUCAUGCCACAACGCCACCCACACCGAUUCCCGUCAUGAUCACCGCACCGGAAGACUCGCCGUCGAGGCGCGGCAGUGGCUCUCAACCCGGAGAACCACGCAGGAAAUUCGCAACAUUCUACACUCUUGACGAAACCAUCGAGCCAGACGAGCGAACCAGCCAUUUCCACAGAGCAGUCGAUCAACCAAACUCAAUUCAAGUUCUAAACGAUGUCGAGGAGCAAGACGAAGAGGACGAGGGCAAUCUGAAACCCCUGUUGCCGAACCGUGGGCACCAUGGUUCGCCUCCGCCCUUCAUUCAGCCGAAAAUCAUCGACGACCACGGGGCGAACAACACCGGCCUGCGACUUCACAGUCGGCGUCCGAGUAUACCGGAUUCAAAACCGGCUAACUCCAGUAAUAAAAAAGUCGAAGAGAGGAACUCUCAACCUAGAGACACUCGUCGCUCGAGCAUCAACAGCAUCGGCAACAGGAGAGCGAGGAAGAACGUGGAACUGAUCGCGCCGGAGCCCAGUACCAACUUGCUCCGAGAAUCCAUGCCACCGCCGCCCCAGACGUCCAACUGCAACGGGCCCAAGGAGCUGGUCUAGAUACGAGUGAGCGCACAACUUGUCAUUUCGAAUGAUAUCACUGGAUUCUAGCGGCCCAGCUACGACGAGCUUCAGGACUAAUUGAAAAAUUGUCCGCACACGCGAGCUCCAGGCGUCGCCCUUGAGAGAGCGCAAUCAGUAGUAUAGAGAGCUCCGCCUGCAGCGGAAACUCGCGCGAAAUCGUCGCCUCGAAUUAUAACAAGGUCCUCGAUGCGGCGGGAAACGCGAGCGGAUCGACUUUCUCUCCCGGAUUACAAAGAGACGAGCCAAGCCGAUCGAGCAGAGCGUAUUGA